rnacentral:lncRNA from 1 species
UUUCAAGUUUAAUGAUUUUAAUCUUAGGCAUAAAUGAUCAUAAAAACUGUAAAUGUACUUUAAAUACAGGUAAACUAUUAACUUGAUUGGCAAACGCCCCAACAUGCUGGUUAUUGUUGUCAUCGAGCGUCAAUAGCAUUUCAUAAUCAUUUCUGCAUAGAAAAAAUAAGAAAAAUAACAUAACUGGAUAACUUGCACCUUAUAUAUUGGAAUUGAACUAGUCUACUUAAUUUUUUUCUAAAGCAAAUGAGUGGAAAACAUAUUAAUCACUUCACUGUUAUAAGUAAAGAACAAGUUAAGAUUUAUCCGCAUGCACAUAAAAUGAGAGAUAUAUCGAAUGUGUUAUACUCCGAUAAAAUGAAAUAAAAGGCUAAAAGAGGGACUCACGACCGACAAGUAGAAAAUAGGCAAACCACAAAGAGAGUUUAUUUGAACUUUUUUCUAUCUUUUAUUAAGUUUAGAUAUCUUUUUUAUGCAUGAUGAACAGUAACUAAAUUAAUUUAUCCCUCAAUAAUAUAGAAAUAAAGGAUAUAUAGAGAAAAAUAAAAUAAUAAAAGUAACUCCAAGUAAUGAGAUAUCAAGGUGAAGAAUUAUAUGGAAAAAUAAUUUUAUUAUAUUAGAUAUAACAAUAAUUAGAAGAAGAAAUAAUGAGAGAAAAUAGGAAAUAAAACCCUAAGAAAGAAAUUCUUAACUAAUCGUUUCUAUUCUUUUUUUUUUUUUUGGUAACUAAUGACCUUGACCUUUAUCUAACAUUAAUUACAAGAAAUUAAAAAAAAUUAUAAAAAAUUAGGUCUAAAAUAUUCUAAUAGAUGAAUAUAAAAACAAAAUAUUAUAAUACUUAAAUAAAUUUGAAUAACUUAAAAUUAUAAAAUAAUAACAAAAAUCACAGAAGAUUUUUUAAUAAACAAUUAAUUGCAAAUUAAGAAAUUUCUUGUUCUGCAUUAUUAUUCUAACUCCUCUCAUUUGGUAAAAGCUCAAAGCUCAAACUGGAAUUUUAAACAUACAAAAUAAUAAUAAUAAUAAUAAAUGAUCAAAUAAGUCCUCUAAUAUCUUCAAAAAGUCAAGACUUUUGAUUACUUCUAUAGAAAAUUUGAAAAUGUAUUAAAAUUAUAAUUUUUAGGAUCAUAAAACUUGAUUGUAUCCGAUUAGUACAGACCGGACUAAAAUUUUUAAAAAAAAAAAAAAAGGAUUCAGACGAAAGAUUUCAUCUGAUUCACUCUGGACCCAAACGUAUAAAUCUCUAAUUAUAUAUAAAUAUAUAUAUAUAUAUAUAUACACAUAUGUACUCCGUCUGUAAUGUAAUAUAUAUACACACACACACACACACACAAAUAUGAGAUAAACAGGGAAGGGGAGAGAGUUAUUUAAAUGACAGAGAGAGAUUAGAAAUGGCCUGCUUUCUCUCUCUACACUAUGCAGAGAGAGAGAGAGUCAUAUAUAUAAAGGCAAAUUGAAGGAGAUUUGAUCAAAUAAAAAAUAUAAAAUUCAUUUUUAUAAAAGUAGAAAAAUAUAUUAUUCUAUGAUGUUUUAUAAUUGAAAUUACAGGAAAAGAACAGAGAAUCCAGAUUCUCCACCUUUAAUCUUUUCUACUUUUUAAAAGAUAAAUGAAUAAAUAAAUAAAUAUUUUUCCAGUUUACAUGCGUAUGAUGGAUGCCAACCUCAAUCGCCAUGAUACUACACGUAGAGCUGCAUGUAGAAGAAGAAGAGCAAAUUCUGCUCCUCGUAGGAGCAGGAAGCAGCGGCAACAUGCCUUUGAUCGACAAAUCUGAGACAAC